UUCCACUGUCUCCAUGGUAACCGUGGCAUUAGAUUGUUACUGUAGCAACAGCACCACUGGUAACAGUCUACAGCCAUGGUCGCUAGGGGGCAAAAGACA
ensembl:miRNA mir132 microRNA mir-132